rnacentral:rRNA from 1 species
GCAGAGAAUACCCCUCGUACCUUUUGCAUCAUGAUUCAGCCAGUAAGAUACAUGCAAAGAGACCUCUAGUUUGUAACCCCGAAACCCGACGAGCUACUUCGAGACAGCUUAUCCAGAGCCAACCCAUCUCUGUGGCAAAAGAGUGGGAAGAUCCCCAAGUAGAGGCAAAAAACCUACCGAGCCGGGUGAUAGCUGGUUGCCCAAAAAAUGAAUAAAAGUUCAGCCCCGUGCAAGCCCAACUCACAACUGUGAAACUACAAAAGACAAAGAGCUGCCCCGCGGGAGUUAGUCAAAGGAGGUACAGCUCCUCUGACAAAGAAUACAACCUUUUAAGGUGAUUAAAGGAUAUAAUAAACCAAGGCCACAGGUCUCAGUGGGCCUGAAAGCAGCCACCCGACCAGAAAGCGUUAAAGCUCAGACCAAAAUAAGCCCAUUAUCACAUUUAAUUCCCCAAGAUCCCCAACACUAUUGGGCCUCUCUAUGCCCCCAUAGAAGAAAUGAUGCUGAAACGAGUAACAAGAAGACCGAACUUCUCCCUGCACAAGUGUAAGCCAGAUUGGACCAACCACUGGCGGUUAACGAACCCAAAAAAAGAGGGCCCUACACCAUGGCCAACUAGGACAAGAAAAGCGUGUUCCCUCAAUCGUUACCCCCACACAGGAGUGCUUCAACAAAGGAAAGACUAAAAGAAAAAAAAGGAACUCGGCAAGCCCAAACCCCGCCUGUUUACCAAAAACAUCGCCUCUUGCCCAUCAUUGUAUAAGAG